rnacentral:lncRNA from 1 species
CUGACCUCACGAGGAUAGAUAUAAAAAGUGGCAAGUGCUGCUGUUACUUUUUUGGGUAUUCUAUCCAAAAGUCACCGGCAAAUUUACAAGAUGCUACCUACAGGCAAUGCAAACAAUAUUAUUUUUAAUUUUUUAAAAAAGUCAUAAACAGAAUUUAAUAAUGUGGUAAAGAGCAGUAUAAGGCAUUGGCUAGAAACCGAGUCUCACAUCUGAAAUUGACACCGGCACUCUGACAUGUGACUAAGGACAAGACACCUUUCCUUAGUGACUUUGUCUCAUCACCUGGACCUACUUCUCAGGGAUGUUGUGAGGAUUACAGAAGUUAUUACACAGGAUAGUGCACGAAUUGAGCACAGAGCCUGGAACACAACAUUACAACUUCUUCCUCGGUGUCUUCUUCAAAAGAAGAAAGGUCACUGGUAUGGACAGAGCUAACUGUGAUGUCUGUUAGUCCAUCCACAUCAGAAUCUAUCAACGAG